rnacentral:rRNA from 1 species
AGCGAACGCUGGCGGCAGGCCCAACACAUGCAAGUCGAACGGGCUCUUCGGAGCUAGUGGCGGACGGGUGAGUAACACGUGGGAACGUGCCUUUAGGUUCGGAAUAAGCCCGGGAAACUGGGUCUAAUACCGAAUGUGCCCUUCGGGGGAAAGAUUUAUCGCCUUUAGAGCGGCCCGCGUCUGAUUAGCUAGUUGGUGAGGUAAUGGCUCAUCAAGGCGACGAUCAGUAGCUGGUCUGAGAGGAUGACCAGCCACAUUGGGACUGAGACACGGCCCAAACUCCUACGGGAGGCAGCAGUGGGGAAUCUUGCGCAAUGGGCGAAAGCCUGACGCAGCCAUGCCGCGUGGAUGGUGAAGGUCUUAGGAUUGUAAAAUCCUUUCACCGGUGAAGAUAAUGACUGUAGCCGGAGAAGAAGCCCCGGCUAACUUCGUGCCAGCCGCCGCAGUAAUAC